rnacentral:tRNA from 1 species
AGCAGCAUGGCUCAGUGGAAAGAGCCCGGGCUUGGGAGGCAGAGGUCGUGGGUUCGAAUCCCGUUUCUGCCC